GACGAACGCUGGCGGCGUGCUUAACACAUGCAAGUCGAACGGAAAGGCCCGGCUUUUGUGGGGUGCUCGAGUGGCGAAAGGGGGAGUAACACGUGAGUAACCUGCCCUUGACUGUGGGAUAACUUCAGGAAACUGGGGCUAAUACCGGAUAUGAGCUCCUGCUGCAUGGUGGGGGUUGGAAAGUUUCGUCGGUUGGGGAUGGACUCGCGGCUUAUCAGCUUGUUGGUGGGGUAGUGGCUUACCAAGGCUUGGACGGGUAGCCGGCCUGAGAGGGUGACCGGCCACAUUGGGCCUGGGGUACCGCCCAGACUCCUUCGGGAGCCAUCGGUGGGGGACAUUCCGCGAUGGGCGGCAGCCUGAUGCAGCGACGCCGCGUGCGGGAUGACGGCUUUUGGGUUGUAACCCGCUUUCGCCUGUGACGAAGAGUGAGUGACGGUAAUGGGUAAAGAAGCACCGGCUAACUACGUG
rnacentral:rRNA from 1 species